AAGGAUUCUGUUCAGCUUGACAUCAAGAACCAUCAGAAAGUGACACCAUUGCUGUUAGCUGUCUCUAUUGGCCACCUCGGAAUGGUGCACCAGUUGAUAGCAAAAGGUGCAGACGUAAAUGUUGUCAAUAAUGAAGGCAACAAUUGUCUGCACCUGGCUGUGAAGAGGAGGUGGAGGUUUCAUUCCGAGGUUGAACCUUUAAGUAUUUUAGAUAAGGUAAGUUUGGAAAUUGUUUAUGAAUAUCUGUGUGUGUGUGUGUGUGUGUGUGUGUGUGUGUGUGUGGUUUUGAAAGAAGGAGAGUGAGAGAGCGAGAGAGACAGACAGACAAACAUUGACUGUCAUGUCUCAAUUCACACUCAUCAACCUUUCUUUUAAGUAAUCCAGUCCCCUACCUGAUAGCCUUAGUUAUAUUUUGUAACUAGGAAAAUUCCAUCUCCUGCUACCCUCAAAGCCAUGGCCUCUCUACCACAAAGAAGGUAGCCUAUCUUGGACAUUGGUCAUAUAAACACAGCCAUUACUGUGUAGAGAAGAGGUGACCUCCUGAAGAGAGGAAAUAUUCCUUAAUAAUAAUGAUACAGGUGACAUGAUAAAAGAUAACCUUUAUGGUGCUGGUGCCAUGAUAAAUACAUCCAGUUCAUUCCAUGAAGAAUUCUUCAAAAGGAGAGAUAUCAUAUAUGCUCUGGCGUUCUGUGGAAAUGCCAUAACAAUGUUGAAUCUCAGAACACUAGAGAAUGGAUACAAUGAAUUAGGGUCCUUAGGGAGUUUUCCCUGCAUUUAAGAAUUGUAUGUACAACUACACACACACACACACACACACACACACAUAUGUAUAUAUAUAUGUAUAUGUAGAUGGCAACGGCUAAAUGUAUGUAUGUGUGCGUGUGUGUAAAACUAUCGACCUAUAUAUAUAUAUAUAUAUAUAUAUAUAUAUAUAUGAUAGAUCACUGGCCACUUCUCAUUCUUUAUUUUCUCUCCUUAUUUAUUUCUGUGUUGCUUUGUGUGGAAGAGCGUAGGCUCGAAACGUUAAAAUCUUUUUUUGUCUACGCUACUUGUCUUCGUCUUUUUUUGUGAAUUCUCCCUAUAUAUAUAAAUAUAUAUAUAUAUAUAUAUAUAUAUAUAUAUAUAUAUAAUAUAUAUAAAAACGGCGGUGCAUCACCAUGGCCGCAGCUCUGAGCUGAAACUUUAUAUAUAUAUAUAUAUAUAUAUACAUAUACAAAUCAUGCAAAGGCAUUCACAUCUAUCCAUCACUAUUGUUAACCGUUGCAGAAUUCAAGCAACUCCCUGCUUCCCGCAUAAAUAAAGGACACUAGAUAUGUGGGACUAUUUCUUCAAACAGUUGAUGAUUAUCUGUGUAUUGUAGUAACGUCUACUUUGGUGUGAGAAACCAGUGACCUCUCCACCUACUGGAAUUUUCCAUCCGACAAACAGUUUGAACAGUUUAUCAACUAUAAUGUGUUGGUGCACAAACUCAAUCGUGACACCAGUUCGUUCUUCUCUUUCGUCACAUUCAUCAUCAAAACAUUUUUUUUAUUAAUUCAUCAUCAUCACGUUUUUCUAUGCUGGCAGACGUUGCACUCUUUGACAUGAACUGGCCAGCUGAGGAGCUAUCAGGGCUCCAUGUCUGUUUCCGUGUGCUUUCUAUGACUCAGUCCUUUGUCAUCUGCUCUGUGCGGCCCAAUGUCUAAUGGUCCUUUCUCACCACUUAAUCACACGUCUUCCUGGGUCCACCCCUUCCGCACUUUCCUUCCACAAUUAAAGAUCUGCACUUCUUGAUGCAGCUGUCUUCAUCCAUAUGCAUUACAUAAUAAUACCAUCGCAGUCUUCUCUCUCGCACACAACAUCCGAUGCCUUAUAUAUCCAGCUUUUCUUUCAAAUCCACUUAAUUAAGGAAACAUUAUUGAUCUGUUUAGAUAUGUCUGUGUGUUUUUAAUUUAGUUGUUAUGCUUGAGGGCCUUGUUAUGUUGUUGGUAUUAUCUUUUCUGGUAUAACUUACAAUAUUUGGGUUGUUAUAUUUAUAUAUACAAUACUCUUCCGUAAGUAUUUCUCUUGCUAUGGCCAUUUGGCUCUAUCAAGCCAGUUGUAGAGAUAGGUUCUUGUUGGUUUGUUGUCUUUCAUUAUUGAGACAUUUCUGUCCUUAUACGUUGUAUAUUUGACUUGAUGUUAUAAUAACUUUAUAUUGUGUUUUAAUUGAAUAGUUUGUGACAUUUGUGAUUGGCAAGUAAAUAUUUACUCAUUAAAUAUCAUUGUUAAGCAAUAACGUUGACCACUAAUGUGCGUUUUGUUCAAUAUAAUGAUCAUAAUUUUUGUCUUAAUGUAGAACGUAAAGUAAAAACAAAUGAUAAUGAAAAGUGGACUCAACUAAUAGAUGAUGUAAGAAAUCAACGCUGUGUGAAUAGUUUAAUCACUGGGGAAACAAACUAUGUGUAAAUGUAGUUGAACUGUUGUGUAAUUUGGGGCAUCUUUAGUAUAUGUUUGUGUAAUCUUUAACUCAUCAUUUUAUAUUUCAUCAUUUGUAGUUCUGCGUAGAGCUGAAACUGGGAAACGAAGAAAGGUGCUCUGGUGUGGUAGUUGCCAGCUACCUAGCCCACCACGGGGCCAACUUUUACUGUAAAAACAAAAUUGGCAGAACACCAUUGGACCUAAUAAAAAAGGAAAAUUUAAAAAAGAUGUUAAAGACGUUAUUCCCACCGCAGUAAGUAUUCACUGGCAAUGACAAGAUAAACCAUUACAUUUUCUGUUUUGUAUAUAACCGUGUUUAUAUGUUUAUAUUGUUUUAAUUCGACUGAUACAUUAUACUGCUUUAGAGGCUUAAUGAAAGGUUAGACAACAACAGUAAGAAGAACAAUAAACAAUAUGCAGAUGUUAAGAUAAUUAAAAGAAAGGACACUAUUUUGAUUACAUUCAAAUGAUUGGUUGCGUUGACUGUUAUACCUCUCCUAAAAUCCCCACCCACCCCUCUCAAUUCCCUAUUUUAAAGAUUUGGGACCAAUGAGAAAAUGUAGAAGUAAAUAGUGAAGUGAUGGAAUUUAUAUCUCUACCAACAGAUUAUUCCUCUGUCUUCUCUGUCCCAGCCAGUCAUGUCCAUGUGAGCUAUCCUGAGAAAAUCGCCUACAAACACAUACAAUUAGUGUACAUACACGAAUACAUACAUACAUACGUAUUUAUACAUACAUGCAUACGUAUUUAUACAUGCAUACAUAGAUACAUACAUACAUAUAUAUAUAUAUAUAUACAUAUAUAUACAUAUAUAUAUAUAUAUAUAUAUAUAUAUAUAUAUAUAUAUAUAUAUAUAUAUAUAUAUAUAUAUAUAUAUAUACUGUGGGGAGGAAAUAAAUAUUCGUCUGUCAAAAUUCUUUAUUUAAUUUCUAAUGAACAUAAAUGGGAUAUACCAAUACUAUAUUCACAUACACAUGCAUCAACUAAGAAUAUGCAAAAGAAACUAAUAAAUUAUAGUAACUAAGGAAUUUAUAUACAAUCAUAAAUAUUUAGGGGUGAAAAAAGUAUUCGUACAGAAUAAAUGUAUGAUUUUCUAUGCCACAAAAUACUGUUAAAAUAUUUUUUUACUAGAAAUUUCUUGUUUAUUCCAAUAAUCUUAGUUUUCAUUUUUGAGUGUCAAAACACUAGCUUCUUCAUUCAACACUGAGACAACAUAAAGUAAUAUCGCAAUAAUGGCGAAAAGUAAAGAACUCACAAAUUCAGAGAAAAACUUAAUUAUUGAACUGUAGAAAGUAGGUAAAAGUUACAGGAAAAUAUCAGAGACACUUUGUAUUCCGCUUACUACCAUAUCUUCAUUUAUUCAAAGAUAUAAGGAAUCAGGAACUGUUGAAAACAGAAUAAGAUCCGGAGCACCACGCAAGAUUUCCCCAAGAUCUUUAAGAAAAAUGAAGAGAAGAAUAUAAAAAAACGCAAUAAUCACCAGAAAGGAGUUUUCAUAGGAAUGAACUGAAGUCACGCUCUCCUAGAAAAACUCCUCUGUUGACUAAAAGGCAUAGAGAUGCCCGUUUAAAAUUUGUUAUGAACAUAAAGAUAAAUCUGAUACAUUCUGGGAAAAUGUUCUAUGGACAGACGAGACGAAAAUUGAAUUGUUUGGACGAAAUUCGCUUACCCAUGUUUGGAGUAAAAACACAAUUCCUACCGUAAAGAUUGGAGGUGUGGGGGUGUUUCUCUGCAAAUGGUACUGGCAAUUUACAUGUGAUAGAUGGUAGAAUGAAUGCAGAGAUGUACCAAAAUAUUUUGAACAAUAAUUUAUGGGGCUCUAUUGAAAAGCUCCAGCUUUGUGAAGGGUGGGUUUUACAACAGGGUAAUGGCCCUAAGCACACGGUGAAGUCUACCAUAUAUGGAUUGUCAAUCACAAUAUAAAAUUAUUGUAAUGGCCAAGCCUGUCACCUGACUUGAACCCCAUUGAAGAGCCCCAACAUGCAUUACAGAUUUGAAGAAAAUUUGUCAAGAAGAAUAGGAAAAUAUUCCUAAAGAAACAUGCGAGUCAUUGGUGAAGAACUACAAGAAGAGAUUGGUUGAAGUGGAACUGAAUAAUGGUUAUGCUACGAAGUAUCAAAUCAAAAUUAUCAGUUAUUUAUAUUCUGUACGAAUACUUUUUUCACCCCUAAAUAUUUAUAAUUGUAUAUAAAUUCCUUAGUUACUAUAAUUUAUUAGUUUCUUUCGCAUAUUCUUAGUUUAUGCAUCUGUAUGCAAAUAUAUAAUAGUGGUAUAUCCCAUUUAUGUUCAUUAGAACUUAAAUAAAGAAAGAAUUUUGACAUUUACGAAUAUUUAUUUCCCCCGUGUAUAUAUAUAUAUAUAUAUAUAUAUAUAUAUAUAUAUAUACAUAUACGCACACACACACACACAAACACACACACACACACACACAUAUAUAUACAUAUAUAUAUAUAUAUAUAUAUAUAUAUAUAUAUAGGGAGAGUUAACGAAAAAAACAAAAGACGAUGACAGGUGGUGUUGAAGGAAUAGAAAAAACCUUUUACGUUUCGAGCCUUCGCUCUUCUACAGAAAGGGACACGGAAAAAAAAACAAGGAUAGAAACAAGGAGAGAAAAAAAUGUGUGUAGCGGCUAACAAUCUAUCAUGGCGACUGACUCGGACACACACACACACACACACACACACAUAUAUAUAUAUAUAUAUAAGUGAAUUAUAUUUCUGGAAUAUAUGUUGUUCACUUUGUGUAAAUCAGUUUUUGUGAUGUAUCAAUGUCAAUAUACUUAUUAAUAUUUGUGUCCAUUUAUAUAUAUAUAUGUGUGUAUGUGUGUGUGUAUCUGUGUCUGUGUCUGUGUGUCUGUGUCUGUGUCUGUGUGUCUGUAUCUGCAUUUAUAUACUCACAAAUUCGCCCAUAUGUAAUUGUUUAAUUGUGGUGUCGCAUAAUAUUCUCUACUGUAAAUUAGAGUGUCUCUGUGUAACGAAAUGUAUCUUGCUAUUUAUUCCACAGCCAUGAUGGAGGAAGACGCAUGGAUCAGGCACUGAAGGGACCAAUCAGGUAGUUGAACUAUUUCUCACAGUCUUUCAGUCAUAGAAUAACAAUGUACCUUGUAAUGACCUGAGAUCAAUCUGAAGUUUGUGGUGCAGUGAUGGCAGAUGGAAACAUGACAUUUACUGCAUUCAACUCAUCACUUUUGAAAAUAAUUCCCUGGUUAUGUACACACAUAUCGUAUAUAAAUCUAAAGUCAUUACUCUAAUUUAGAACAAUGACCUGUUUUGUGUCAUGGAUCAGCCAUACAUAAAGCUGUAGGAAUUGUGUCCUAUCUGUCCAUCCAUAAAAUUCAAAGUCAAAUGUCUAAGUAUAGACGACUUCUAAAACAGAUUAGAUACAAUCAAGUGUUAUAUGUAUGCAUGUAUGUAUGCAUGUAUGUAUGUACGUACGUACGUACGUACGUAUGUAUGUAUGUAUGUAUGUCUAUAUAUACACACACACACAUACAAUUUAUAUAUAUUUAUAUAUAUAUAUAUAUAUAUAUAUAUAUAUAUAUAUAUAUAUAUACAUACAUUCAUACAUAUAUACAUACAUACAUAUAUAUCACCUUGACCGACCAGUCCGUCGGGCAUCCAUUUGACACCGCUGGUCACAGCACGCUGUCCACUCCUCUCUGGAUCGCACCUUCCUCAUCCACGUGAUCCCAAUCGUCCUCCUGAAAUCGUUACUCCACCGUCGUGGAGGCCUUCCGGGUGGUCGUUUCCGCUCGCGCGGGUACCACUCGACAACUGCGCGUGUCCACAGAUUUUCGGUGAGCUGGGCGAUGUGUCCAGCCCAUCUAAACAUAUGUAUGUAUGUAUGUAUGUAUGUGUGUGUGUAUGUGUAUGUAUAUAAGUGAAUUAUAUUUCUGGAAUAUAUGUUGUUCACUUUGCGUAAAUCAGUUUUUGUGAUGUAUCAAUGUCAUGACAUAUACUUAUUAAUAUUUGUGUCCAUUUAUAUAUAUAUAUGUGUGUAUGUGUGUGUGUAUCUGUGUCUGUGUCUGUGUGUCUGUGUCUGUGUGUCUGGGUCUGCAUUUAUAUACUCACAAAUUCGCCCAUAUGUAAUUGUUUAAUUGUGGUGUCGCAUAAUAUUCUCUACUGUAAAUUAGAGUGUCUCUGUGUAACGAAAUGUAUCUUGCUAUUUAUUCCACAGCCAUGGUGGAGGAAGACGCAUGGAUCAGGCACUGAAGGGACCAAUCAGGU
rnacentral:lncRNA from 1 species